rnacentral:rRNA from 1 species
GUCGAACGGUAACAGGAACAGCUUGCUGCUUUGCUGACGAGUGGCGGACGGGUGAGUAAUGUCUGGGAAACUGCCUGAUGGAGGGGGAUAACUACUGGAAACGGUAGCUAAUACCGCAUAACGUCGCAAGACCAAAGAGGGGGACCUUCGGGCCUCUUGCCAUCGGAUGUGCCCAGAUGGGAUUAGCUAGUAGGUGGCGCAACGGCUCACCUAGGCGACGAUCCCUAGC